AGUAGUUGUCUGAAGUUUGUGGCAAGUGACUCAUUGCAUUAGCCAGUGGAAUCUUUGUAUGGUACAAGUAUCAUUGCGAGAUAUUUCCCGCUGCGCCGUUACUACGGUCUUGCGAAUAAUCGUGGCUGUGAAUGUAGCUUUUGAAUUGGGACAAAGGCGCGUCGCGAGAUUGUUUACACGACACGUUACUUUGCCACCAAUUAACUGUUUCCCAGCCGUUGUGAUAAAGAAGUGAUUGUUCCGCGCUUUACCUUGCGAUGAAUAUGUUGCAUACCUCGGCCGUAGGUAUCUGAGAUACUUGGUCGCCAUAGAAAAGUCGCAUUCACUCCAAACUAAUGGUGCUGGACCGUUGCUGGAAGUUUUGUGCUUCCACGAAUGGGUUACCAUCAGCGAAUUGCCUUCGUCCGUUUCUCGCCUUUCUGCCACACGAAACUCAUCCACGGUUAAGUUGGAAAUCGCGCCGGGUCGCUGCGCAUUUCUCAGAAGCAGAGAAAGCAUAAGGAUUGCUGCUUCUAUGCUGUUCAAGUCAUCUUGGUCGAAGUCCAUCAAGCAUUUCAAUUGGAGAUUGUGUGCUUUAGCAAACUUUAGAAAAGACAUAUAAGAGCAACUGUAAUGUGCUAAUGUGCCAGGUUGCUUCGGAACUUCUCUUAAGUAGUUGCCCUCGAAGAAAGUCCUCCUAAUUAUUCCGACCGUCUCCUCCUUCCAAAGAAGCGAGCAAUCGUUCACCGUUUGGUCAACCUGAAAAAGUAACUUUCCAACGUUGCUCACUUCUUCUCUGCUGUAGCUUUUUUUACCCCCGUCGAAGCUUUCCAAAUAGUUCUGAAAGAGUUUUAGGACCGGGUUUUUUUUUACCCUCGUUGCUAGCUCCCCCCUCUCCGGGUCUUUAGGUGCCAGAGGGCCGUGACUGGGCUGUGGGAAGGCGCAUUUUCUAUUCCUCGCCCGUCUCCGGAUUCCUCGCCACUCUCUCGCUUUGCACAUCAGACUACAGAAUGGGGAUUAACCAUUUAUUACUUAAAUUUGUAAAUUUAGGUUUUGAGUUUUACAUCAUCGAGUUUUCGUACUUACGAA